rnacentral:misc_RNA from 1 species
UUACCUAUUUUAUGUGGAUUUUUAUAAUUAUAGUUAAGGUCUUGUAUAAAUUCCUUUCUUUUUGCCCUCUCUGAUUACCCCCUAUGAACUUUGUCUUCAGGUCCCUUUAUUUUGUUUAUUUCUGGUUUUUAUAUGCAAUUGUAGAGUCUGAUGGCAUUUAGGAUUGUCUUCAAUUUGUUCUAAUGAUACAACUUUUGUUUACCUUUUAGAUGUAACUGAGGUUCUCUGUGA